AGUAAAUUCAUUAGCGAUGUAAGGCUAAGUAAAUUCAUUUUUACUUACAUCGCUAAUGAAUUUACUUAGCCUUACAUCGCUAAUGAAUUUA
rnacentral:pre_miRNA from 1 species